CCUUCCCACCCCUAUGGCUUCCUGACACUCUGGACUGAACUGAUUUCAGGGCUCUUGCUAGUGCUGGGCGGUGCACCACCACAGUAGGUUCUGUUUGUUUCCAGAGGAGGCAGUGAACAGGUGGCAGUUAAGGACACACCAACUUUGGAGACAAACCGUCCGGCUUCAAAGCCAGGUUCUGCCAUUUGCCACUGUUAUGCUCUGGUUUUUACUUUCAUAUCUGGGCCAGGAACUAAAUGAAUCAAUAGAUGUGAAGUGCUGAUACCAGUACCUGCCACAGAUAGUGUUGCUGUCUGCUAAGCAGGGCACCCAGAGUGGUGGUGAGUGGUUACUGGAGGCUAGGAAGGGGUGGCUCUGGGUUUCUGGCAACGUUCUGUUCUUCACCUGGGCCCUGAUUUUUAGUGUGCAAAGGCUCAUUAAGUUGCAUACUUAUGCAUUUUCUGCAUGGAUUUCGUGCAUUCAUGAGCAUCUCCAGUAAAAGGUUUUUGCUCAGAGCAAGGCAGCCCUCAUCUCCCGGAGAGCAGAAACAAAAUCUUACCUAUCUUGACACUUUGCAGGGUGCAGGCUGGGCACACUGUAUGUGCUCAGUGAACAGCGGCUGGGUUGCUCUGAAUGGACUGUGAAUGACAGAGUUCAACCAGGAGAACAUGGGGGACGGUACCUGGCUUUCUAUUCUAAAGCACCAGGGUCCUUAAAAUCAUGUCCAGGUGCAGGCACCUGGGUCCGGCCAAAGAAAGGAAUCCCAUCUCUCUGGUGGGAAAGUUCUUUGUCCUGGGCCUGUUUUUGUUGUUGUUGUUGUUGUUGUUGUACUGGGAAUUAAACUCAGGACCUUAAACUUGGUAGGCAGAUGCUGUGCCUCUGAGCUAUAUCCCCAACCUAGAUUUGAUUAAAACAAAAAAAAGCCAGGUGUGGUGGCACAUGCCUGUAACCCACUCUGGGAAGUUGAGGCGCUAAUGUUUGAGUUCAGCUUGGGCAACUUACUGACCUGGCAAGACUGUCUCAAAAUAAACAAUAAUAGUAAGUUGGGGAAAGAGACCCUGGGUUCAAUCCCCAGUACCAUUAAAAAAACAAAACAAAACAAAACAAAAGACCUGGGCAGAGUUUAGCCCUGGGUGCCCCAGCUCCCCAGGUGACCCAGCGAGCCCAUGUUACUUCACCCUGUUCCAGCAACUCUAUGUCCAUCUGGCCUGUGAGACAGGAUUGGAUUAUGGCUGCUGUGGCACAGGUAGCCCUGGCUGAGCACCUCUGCCUGGGUUGGGGCCAGCCAGCUGGAGCAUCCCAUUCAGACAGCCCAAGCCAUGAUACUCAGCAGUGGGACAUCUUCUUGCUGGUCCUAGCUGGGCUCGUCCUCCUGAAAGGGCUGCUAUUCUGAGUCCCAGGGGUAAGAGCUUUCUUGGUUGGCCCUUGUGCACAGCAUUGGGUGGGGCUGGAGCAGGGUGAGCCGGGUGAACCAGGUGUGCCUGAAGGUAUCUGCAGCUGUGAUGCACCUGGCACUGAGCACCCACAGGUGAUGGUGCCUGGGGGUACGUGUGUUCCUCUCUUCUAAGUCAGGAAAUGAGAGAGUAACACGUGUGUGACUCAAGCACAUUACACUGGGUUUUUAGCGAACUUUGAAUGAUUUUUGUUUUGUCUUUUUUCCUUUUUAUCGGUACCAGGGAUCGAACUCACGACUGCCUGCUUGCAAGGCAGGCACUUAUGCCGCUGAGCUAAAUCUCCAGCCCCCUGAAUGAAUUUUUUAAAAAUAGAGAAAAUUUUACUCAGCUAUGAGUCCACUUGGUGGAAUAAAACCAAGAACAAAUUCUGUCCGUCAAAACAGGAACAGCUCCUCACGGUCCCAACCCUAACCUCUUGCUGCAGGUGUCAGAAAGAACCACGAGGGAGGCUCCCAGUGCAGGGAAGGACAAAGAGUAUCCCAGCUUACUGGACGUCUUUCACCUCCGAUCCACGCCCACAAACUCCCUUCAGGAAGGACAGUGUGGAGAGGGGAAGCCAUGGGCUCUGAGAAGUCAGAUACUUGGUCCUGAACUUCAGCUCUGGGGAACAGCGUAUCUGAGUUUUGGAUUCCAAGCCUGCACGCAUUCUGUCUGCCUCUGAUCUCUUACCAUCACGACCUGAAAAUGUCUACAGGGGAGUUUUCUUACAAUAAGUCUUUAAAGUUUGAGAUGCACAAUGGAAAGUUCAAAUUUGUGAAUUUCUUUCAAUACACUCCAGUGAAAUAAGUGAUCAUGAAUAUUUCUUGCCGCUGGGGAUACUUUACAUUGGCCUGGACCCUCCACAGUCAGAUGUGACCAAGGGAUUCUGGCCACUGAAAUGUGGUAAAAGUGACACACAUCAUUACAGAGAAGCCUCAAGAGUCAAUGACCUUGGGGCUGGAGAUUUAGCUCAGUGGCAUAAGCACCUGCCUUGUAAGCAGGCAGUCGUGAGUUCGAUCCCCGGUACCGAUAAAAAGGAAAAAGACAAAAAAAAAAAAAAAAAAAAAAGUCAAUGACCUGCCUAUCACACCCUUCCCAGCCGAGGCUACUCUGAAGGCUUGAUGGUCUCUACCAGCCUAGGGUCUCUCUGCUGACAGGUUAUAGCACAGGUGAGAAAUAAACAACUGUACGGAACUCUUGGUCACUGUGUUAGAAUCUAAACCCUCCUGUCUGACAAGAAAUCGGGUUUCUGCUUAUGGCAGCUUCCAAUUAAAGACAAAAUGAACAGAAUUCUGCUCAAAUGAAGUGACGAUUUGAACAUAACUGAAAGACGCAGAUUCAGUGUAUGUUUUAGGCACUAAAAGAUAAACAACAUGGAACUUCACACCAUAUAUAAAAAUCAACUCAAAGUGGGACAAAGGUCACAGCAUAAGAGCUUCAAUCUACACAACUCUUAGAAAAAUAGUAGUAAAUCUCUGUGACCUGGAUUUGGCACUGAUUUCUUAAAUAGAACAUCAAAGCUGUACACAAAGAAACAACAGGUAAAUUAGACUUCAACAAAAUUUAAAACUUUUGUACUUUAAAGGAUACCAUCAUGAUGUGAAAAUACUCACCAAAGGGGAGAAAAUAUUUGGAAACCUCACUAAGGGUCUAGAAGCUAGAAAAUUACAGCUCAAAAGUAAAGAAAACUCUUAACCAUUCAAUUUGAAAAAUGAACAAAGGCUCAGAAUAGGCAUUUCUCCAAAGAAGAUACAGAAAGCCCAAUAAGAACAUGAAAAAAUACCCAACACCUGGGGAGAUCAAAGUCAUGAUGAGAUACCAGUUCACACUCUCUAAAUGACUAAAAUGAAAAACUUGGAUAAUAGCAAGAGUUGGCAAGAAAAAGGAGAAGCUAGAGCCCUCACGUAUGGGGCUGGAAAUGUGAAACAGUGCAGCCACUUUGAAAGCCCGGCUGGUGUCGCCUCACAGGUUAAUUGCAAACCUACUGGUCCCACCCCCUGGGGAUGCUGGCAAGAGGAUGAAAACGGAGCCCACACGUAAGGAGUAUGCUUGGCGGUGAAAGGGGAUGAUGUCCCGGUAUGCGAUAAACAUGAAUGGACCCAGCAAGCAUCAUGGGAAGGGAGGGAAAGAAGCCAGAUCCAAGACGAUAGUUUGUACGAUUCUCCUGGCAACGAACGUGCAGACUGGGCAGGUUUCUAAGCAGUGGCUCUGAUUAGAGGGAAGCAAGAGGAUGGGCAGCAGGAGGCAGAAGACCUGGCACCUAGGGUGAAGCCACUUUGACAUCACUGUCCUGAGCGUCUCCAUCACUUCAGGGAAGCAGUGACUUCAGCGCAGCAGCCACACCUGACACAGGCCUGGAGCUUGUCACUCUGGGACUAAUGCAGGAGUCCAUCCCAGCUUGGCUCUGCUGCCCCAGGCCAGAGAAGCAGAGCCCCUUCUCCAAGUGGACUCCAGGGACUGCUCUGCGUCUGCAGUUGGAACAAGAAAUGCAGCCCCACCCAAAGAGCCUCCUGAUUUUCACUCGAGUUUACCAAAUACCAAGCGAGCACCCACUCACUCUCCUCCUGAGCCCGGGAAAUGAAAAUGCCAGGGAGGGAUGAUGUCUUUGGGUGCAAGGAGACACCUGGGAGCCUCAAGUCCCCUGCUGAGCUUCUGCCCUCUGCUCAGAGCUUGCUGUUUCCUGCGGCUUUCCAGGAGAGGGGUGGUAAGACUCAUGGGAAGAUGCAUCCACCAUUUCCAACUUCCUGGGUGACCAGGGCUCGGAAUGCCCUGUAGGCCACGUCCUCAGCACUUCUGAGCUGGCCCUGAGGGCAGCCACUGCCCUACUUCCUCUGCCUUCUCACGUCACAACAAACAUCUUUGUGCCUGACAAAUGAGGGUGCUGGUGCAUUUUCUGUGCCUUAAGAGUCACACUGAACUGUCAUCACCUUACCAGACGGCUGAAGGCUGCACCUGCCCCUUUGCCUUUCCCAGAAAGGUGAAUUACGGAGCAGGAAGGUGUCUAUCCCAAGCUGCUCUCCAACUGCACAGCCAGAUCCAGUCUCAUCUGUGUUGGGGAAAAGGAAGAGACUCACUGCUGGAGCAGGUCGGCCACGGGGUGGGGGGACACUGGUUGUCCAGAGUGACUUCCCAGAUCCCUGAGGGCCAAGCUCAAUAGAGGAGGAAGGGAGGGGACAAGAGUUCGCCUGUCUUCUGCAGCAAACAGCCAUGGGGACCAUGCUGGUGAGAAGGGGACACAGCUCCAGCUGGGGCUGCCGCCUGCAAGGUGCAGACGGUGCAGGGUCCUUUCCAGAGCUUCCUGGGCCAUGGAGCAAGUGAGUCAUUUAAGGAAGUGAUUGAGGGAAUCUUUUAGAUUAAUAACUUUAGCUGUCAAGGC